GGAAUAUAAAAAUCCGACUCUUAACUUUUAACUGAAAAAGUUAAAAGUCGGCUCUUAAAUAAGAAAUUUAAGAACCGACUUUUAACUUUUUCAGUUAAAAGUUAAGAGUCGGGUUCUUAUAUUCU
rfam:Brassica napus, WGS project CCCW01000000 data, contig: 7440